UACUGCACACCAAAAUAAGCAAAGCACAUGUAUAAAUGUAAGAUAUGUGUAACGAAGUAAACAGUCAUUAAUUAGUAAUUAUUUAUAGUUAUUCAUAGCCAUAAAGGUUGUUAAUGAUCAGAAACAGGUUUAAUGUCAGUAAUAAGAAUCAAAAGUGUAAAAGACAAAUUUUUAUUUAUACUAUCUUAUAGUUUGACAAAAAAAGGGGGAAGUUACAGUCAUGUAAUAAUACAUGCUUAAAGCAUGAUCCUAAUAUUACCGGUUAUAAUGGACCCAAGGUUACAAUUAUCUCAAAUUAACAAAAAAUUAUAAAAAUCAUCUAGCAAUGCCCUACCCUUGUUCAUUGGGGUCUCAUUGGGUGGUUCUGAUCCCGGAUCCCGCUUAGGCGCUAACUGUUUUGUCAAAUUCCUGUAACCCGCUUACAUUAUGUACAUAAGCAAUUCUCAUUUUUUUUUCUGAAAUCCUGUGCCUCGCUUGACUUCAUCUCCUGUUUUCAUGGCACAAUAAUUUGACUUUCACCUGUCACGCUUACAAACAAUCGGAAAUCCUGCGUCACGCUUAGACCCAAAUGAGAUUCACUUCAUUGACAUAGUUGUUGAAUAUAAAACACAUUUUAGUUUACAAAUCGAAGGAAAUUUAUCAGUGAUAUAGAGAUUGUCCAACAACGAGCUGCUCGGUAUGUCUGCAAUAAAUACCAUAAUACAAGUAGUGUUAUGAACAUGCUUACUACAUUAUAUUUUCCAUUACUAACAGAAUGUAGGCUACAUACAAGAUAAGUAAUGAUGUACAAAUUAUCAUACCAUCUUGUUGCUAUUCCAUCAGUCAUACUUAUAAAAGCAGACUCAAGAACAAGAAAAAAACAUCCAUACAUAUGGGCAUAUUCAUACAUCAAAAGAUUACUACAGACAUUCAUACUUUCCAUACACAAUACCACAGUGGAACCAGCUCCCUGUGGUACUAGUUCAGGCACCAUCCAUUGAUAGCUUCAAGGAACAGCUCACUUCAGCUGUUCUCUGUUCUAUUAAUUAAAAGCAUUAAUUUAAAUUGUACAUAGUUUUAAUCACAAAUUUGAUAUUUUCAUUGCACUUUAAUUACAUUUUGUUUAAGUUGGGGUAAAGACUUGUAAAUAGUCCAAGUAUGUGAACAGUAUGUAAUCGUCGGAUGUCGAAAAUAAGAAGAAUAAAUAUGGUCUCUUCUUCUUCUUCCUAGUAUGGGAAAGACCCUGUUGUUGAAAUCAUAUGUUUACCUCCGUCAUAUGCAUGCUAUUCAAUGGUAAUUAUGAUGUUACCAUGCAUUCCUAAUUACACGAAAACCCAUGAGAAGAGGAUAUGUUUAUCGGCAGUCUCCAAUUUUCUAGUGAUCCUCCAUUUUGUAACUGCCUAUUAUUAGAUCAUGAAUAGGACUUGAUACUCUUAAAUGUUAGGUAAUCAAAAUGGUAAUGAUGUCACAUAUCAGUGCACAGUGAAAAAGAAGAAAAUUCACAAAUUUGCACUUACAUCUGACUUGAACACCGCUUUCAUAUUCAAAAAAGUUGUUUUAAAAAUAUGGAAAUUCUGCUAGAUUCAACCUUUAGUAUGACAGAUUUAUUCUUUGAAACAAAUAUCUUUUUUAAGAAUGCAUUCAUUUUAACUAACCACUCUUUCUAAAAUUAUUUUUUGUAUAUGGAUAUUAAAUCUACCCAGCAUCAAGAUGCAUUUUCUCCCUUUGAUGAUAAUACAUUUUGUAGUUGGAAUCUUGAUCUAAGCUAAUUUGUGCAAUAUUUGUUUACACAUUUUAUAUCAAUAAUAUAUCAAGUGUUUUAAUCAUCAUGAUCAUUCCUGUAUAAUCCAAAUAUGUGUCUGCGGAAUUGAGUGACCAUUAGCUGGAUUGCCUUUUUAUGCCCCGUUUAUGAUUCCCCAUUUAUGGGCAUUAUGUUUUCUUGUCAGUGCAUUCGUCUGUUUGUCUGACCCGCUUCAUGUUAAUGUUUGUCGAGGUAGUUGAAGUCCAAUCAACUUGAUACUUAGUACACAUGCUUCCUAUGAUGAUCUUUCUAAUAUUAAUGACAUUGAAAAUUAUACUGGGAUGGAUCAUUUGUGUACUAUGGACACAUUCUUGUUUUAUUUAUAUUUUUAUUGAACUAUUCUUUUGUAUUUAUUGUUUUUUUAAAUUCAUUUGCAAUUUUUUUCAGUAAAGUAAAAUGUCAGAAGAAUAUAAAGUAGGGAGCUUGUCUGAUGUCAUCAAGAAAUCAUCAAAAGCAAAGAAGAGGAAAUCAUCAGAAGGAGAAAUAGCCAAGCUAGCUUCAUUGUUUGGUGCACCAGCUAAAAGAUUUGAACCCGAGGCAAGGAUUUAUAAUCCACACUCAGUG
rnacentral:lncRNA from 1 species